GCGCGCCUAGGCGGGGAGAUAGCGGUUCCCUAACUCCCGAAAUCCGCUACACGCGGGGCUGAAUGCCUGAAUAGAGGGGUAGCUGUAAUAUUUGGACCGAUUCAUCGAAGGCGACGAAGGCGGGUCCCUGUGCAAUGCAAUCUCGUGAAAUGGGUCAGGCCUUGAUCGGAGCAGCCCUAAGCGAAUUUUGUGUGUGCCGCAGAUUAGGCUUGCCGGAGCCCUAGCAGGGUCGAAAAAAUAUUGUCAGUAUUUCGAAUUCAGGGGCGCGC
rnacentral:SRP_RNA from 2 species